rnacentral:sRNA from 1 species
UUCUAAACGGGAUAGAAGUGGCAGCCUAUUGCUGUCCUGAGCGUAGCUGAAGGGCAGCAAUAGCUAAAACGGAUAGCCCGACUGGCG